ensembl:lncRNA
CAGAACAUGACAUGGGUCCAGCCCUCCCUGGGCUCAUUUAAGAGCUAGCCUGCCAAGAGAGCCUGUUUCCUGGAUGAAGGUUGCUUUCUAAGGUGAAGUGGUCUGUGACUAGUGACCCUAGAACUGGCUGGGGUGCAGGCUCGUGGUGAACCUGCUGCCAACAAAUACCUCCAGGUCCCUUUCUGCUGAGCUGUUCUCCAGUCACUUGGCUCUCAUUUGUGCCUGGCAUUACUCUAUUCCAGGCAAGCCAAGAUAGAACAGAAGAGUCAAAAGAAGCUGUAAAUGAAACUAGCAUUUCCAGUAUAUUUCUUCUUUAGAUGAAUAGUAUAAAUUUGAAACAAUUUCAAAUAAUUAAAAUACGCUAAAUAUAUGGCGUACAUUGCCACUCCCGCUGUUGUAAAUCGGUUUACCUUUGCUGCAUUUAUAUCUCUAGGAUUUAACUUUGUAUGAAUAGAAAGAAAUAUGAUGUGUAAGAUGUGUGUUUAUAUGAAAGCUGUACUUUCUUCCAAGAGAAUGUAUGCAACUUUGACUUGUUUUGUACCAAACAAACAAAAAAACCAAAUAAACAAAAAGAUUAAAAGAAAAUGGCCUG